rnacentral:snRNA from 1 species
AUACUUAACUGGCAGGGGAGAUACCAUGAUCUCGAAGGUGGUUUUCCCAGGGCGAGGCUUAUCCAUUGCACUCCAGAUUGCUGACCCCUGCGAUUUUUUCCAAAUGUGGGAAACUCAACUAAAUAAUUUGUGGUAGUGGGGUACUGCGUUCGCGCUCUCCCCUG